rnacentral:rRNA from 1 species
UAGGGAAUCUUCCACAAUGGACGAAAGUCUGAUGGAGCAACGCCGCGUGAGUGAAGAAGGUCUUCGGAUCGUAAAGCUCUGUUGUUGGUGAAGAAGGAUAGAGGCAGUAACUGGUCUUUAUUUGACGGUAAUCAACCAGAAAGUCACGGCUAACUACGUGCCAA